rnacentral:lncRNA from 1 species
GACCAUCCUAGCUAGCACAGUGAAACCCCAUCUGUACUAAAAAUACAAAAAAAUUAGCCGGGUGUGGUGGUGGGUGCCUGUAGUCCCAGCUACUUGGGAGGCUGAGGCAGAAGAAUGGUGUGAACCCGGGAGGCAGAGGUUGCAGUGAGCCAAGAUUGCGCCACUGCACUCCAGCCUGGGCGACAGACAAGACUCUGUCUCAAAAAAAAAAAAAAAAAAAGAGAUGGGGGCGGUCUCACUACAUUGCCCAGGCUGGUCUUGAACUCCUGGGCUCAAGCCAUCCUCCUGCCUCGGAUUCACAGAGUGCUGGGAUGACAGGCAUGAGCCACUGCGCCUGGCCUCAACCAUUUUUGAGAGCCCUGGAACUCAUACAGGCUCCCGGCCCAGUGUGGCUCGCUGCUCUGAACAUGCCUCUCUCCCAGAGCCCAGAGCUCAGCACACCUGAAACCUUCAGCCAACCCAUUCUGAUUGCUUCCCGCACCGAAGGGCCUCAGCUGAAAUCCAUCUCACCAUGGUCUCUGAUGGUCAGAUUUGAUAAAGGGGCCACGUAGGAACCUGAGCCGCCUGGGGGACGGUUGUGAAUCUCAAAGCAGACACACAUUCUCCAUUAGCGGCCCUCCGAGGAGCCCAGUUUCAGCAGAAUCAUUAAAAGUUGAUGAUUCUGCAAAUGUCUUUUUGUCUGCUGUGGGGUGAUGGAAGCAGGGAAGUGUAGUUUUCCUCUGAAAUGAUAAAGCACUAGGCAAAGAAAGGCAGUAAGACAAUUCCACACUUAACCUUAGAGUGACCAUGAAAUUCAACACUGAAGACUUUUAAGAGAGAUUCAGGAGGAGGGGAGAGCUCAGGUAACCACUGAAAUGCUUAAAGGUCAGGAGCUGGGGAAAAAAACAUCAAGGACUGCAUUCAAAAUAAAUCAGAAGGCCGGGCAUGGUGGCUCACGCCUGUAAUCCCAGCACUUUGGGAGGAUGAAGCAGGCGGAUCAUGAGGUCAAGAGAAGGAGACCAUCCUGGCCAACAUGGUGAAGCCCCGUCUCUACUUAAAAAAUACAAAAAUUAGCUGGGCGUGGUGGCACAUGCUUGUAAUCCCAGCUACUCGGGAGGCUGAGGCAGGAGAAUCAGUCAAACCAGGGAGUUGGAGGUUGCAGGGAGCUGAGAUCGUGCCACUGCACUCCAGCCUGGUGACAGAGCAAGACUCCAUCACAAAAAAAAAAAAAAAAAAAAAAAAAAAAUCAGGCUGCAGAAGACCAGGGCUUAGCAUUAUUAUUUUUUUUUCCCCCAAGAAUUGAACCACUCUCACUGUUUAGGCUUUGAGAGUUGCUUUGAGACACUGAACAACAUCACCAUGUGUGAGGGCAUCCUCCUCAUCCAGCCCUGACUGGGCUGGGGUCCAGCAUCUCCUCUCAGGGGGCCCUCAGCCCCCCUUGGGGAGAACUGCAGGCUGCAGAACUGCAAAGGGCCCUAGGUACACAGAUAAGUGAGCAACCCGACUGAGGGGCUGCAAGCCCCUUGUAGUCAGAACUCGUGCUCAAGCUGAGCUGGAGCUCCUGUUUCCUAAUCCCCACCUGAGCUUUGCACUGACCACCCAAAACAUACAUGUAAGUUGAUUCAUUUGGGAAAACUAAAGGCUGGGCACGGUGGCUCAUGCCUGUAACCCCAGCACUUUGGAAGGCUGAGAUGGGAGGAUCUCUCGAGACCAGACUGGGCAACAUGGUGAGAACCAUCUCUACAAAAAAGUUUAAGAAAUUAGCCGGGUGCAGUGGCAGGCACCUAUGGUCUCAGCUAUUCAGGAGGCGGAGGAAGAAUUGCUUGAGCCCAGGAGGUGGAGGCUGCAGUGAGCCAUGUUUGCACCACAGCACUCCAGCCUGGGUGACAGAGCAAGACCUUGUCUCAAAGAAAAAAAAAAAAGAAAAGAAAAACCAUAGUCCUUUCUUUCCUUCUUUUCUUUCCUUCCUUUUUUUCUUUCUUUCCUUCUUCUCUUUCUUUCUUUCCUUUCUUCCUUUUUUGAUGGGGUCAUGCUCUGUCUCCCAGGCUAGAGUGCAGUGAUGCAAUCACAGUAUCGCAGCGUUGAACACCUGGGUUCAAGCCAUCCUCCUGCCUUAGUCUCCCUGAGUAGCUAGGACAACAGGUAUGCACCACCAUGCCCAGCUAACUUUUUUUUUUUUUUAAGAGAUGGAGGUCUCACUAUGUUGCCCAGGCUCGUCUCUAACUCCUAAUCUCAAACAAUCCUCCUUCCUUGGCCUCCCAAAAGUGCUGGAACUACAGGUGAGCCACCUUGCCCAACCUAGAAGUCACUUCUAAAUUCUGAAUAAUAUUUCUACAAUUAAUUAAUUUGCUAACACAAAUACUAGCUUAGAAACAUAGUACUUAAAGUUAGCUGCUUUUCUUUUCCAUAGAGGUACAGUUUAUGCUCAGUGGGUUUUGCUUGUUGACCUACUUCUCUCUGGUUAUUUGUCACAGACCCACAGUUGAUUAACGUCACCACUGGAUCUGGGAAAAAUGGCUUAUGGGCAGUUUCACAUCAUAAAAUCUUCUUGCUAUUAUUAAACAGAAAAAAAACGCUUGUGAGCUCAAAGCAAGUGAGUGCUGUUCAUGAGGUUGGAGGCGUUUUGCAAUGGUUGUUGUGGAAGAUAAAGCCCAGCCUGACAUAUGCUCUUUCAAAGAAAGUUCUCAGGAAUAUCCUGUAUAUGGCACCAGACCUCAGACAAUUCAGGUAGACAAAAACCCUCAUGUGUAUCACAGCUACAUAAUGCUAGAACAAAAUAUUGAAUAUUCAAGCUCAGAGUAUUUUUUAGAGGGUUUCUGCUUUUCCCUUAUUUACAGGUUUGGCUUUUUCCUGAUGUUCUAUCAGUGACUGGAAAUUGUAUUAGUCCCUUCUCAUGCUGCUAUAAGGACAUACCCGAGACUGGGUAAUUUAUAAAGGAAAGAGGCUUAAUUGACUCAUAGUUCUGCAUGGCUGCAGAGGCCUCAGGAAACUUACAAUCAUGGUGGAAGGGGAAGCAAACACGUCCUUCUUCACAUGGCAGCAGGAAGGAGAAGUGCUGAGUGAAGGAGGAAAAAGCCCCUUAUAAAACCAUCAGAUCUCCUGAGAACAAACUCAGUAUCACAAGAACAGCAUGGGGAAACCACCCCCAUGAUUCAAUUACCUCCAUCAUGUCCCUCCCAUGACAUGUGGGGAUUAUGGGAUUACAAUUCAAGAUGAGAUCUGGGUGGGGACACAGCCAAACCACAUCAGAGAUCAAUUUUGAGUGUUGGAAUUUUGGUGACAUAGCAGAAGAAUGACACCUUCGGACAAGUCUGGGGUUACAUCUAGAUGUUAUUUCCAAAUUGCACAUUAUUUAGGGGACUUGUGACCCCUAAUAUUUUGGCUUAAGAUAUGGUUAAGAAGUGGCUCAAUUUAUAGUACUAUGCACCUGGCUUCUAUCAUAAAACUCCAUUAAAACCACAGUCUUGACGAUUUUCAACUAGUCAGUCUCCAUAUAUCAGGAGAUGGAUUGCCUAGGUUGUGGGCUGUCUGACUUUUGAAAACUAAAAAUAAAAUUCUAAGUCCCCAGCCAUCUGAAUGGAUCCUUCCUGUCAGCCAAGGGCAUUCCAGAGUUAACCUGAAAAACUAGUUCAGGCCAUGAUGGAAAGGAGGAGUCAGAUAUACCUCAUUAUACCCUCCUCCCUUAUGAAGUUCAGGCACAGCUGACCAGCAUUAACAUUAAAACAGAUCCCAAGACUGACAAAACAGACCUUUUGUAGCAAUAAGAGAUAUCGAAUUCCAGCCUAACUCUAGUAUAGCAUCACAUCACAGGUAAGAGGCCCUGAAAGAAAUUGAAGUAUUUUGCCCCCAAAUUAUGUUUCUUUGCCAUAUCUUGAAAUAAUCCUGCAAAGCUGUCUCUUGUGGGGAAAAUCUACAUUCUGAAGAGAAUCCUCUUUCUUUUAGAGGCCUCUUUCUUGAUCCAGGAGAGAAUCAACUCUGAUAAGAAACAUCUACAAUCUAUUCUCUCUGAAGCCUGCUACCUGGAGGCUUAUAUUGUGUAAUGGGAACCUCGGUUCUCAUUUAAGGGGAACAAUUAAGGGGUCUCCACAACCCCUUAUCUUAACCCAGACAUUCCCUUCUAUUGAUUCUAGAUCUUUAGACAAUAACUUAACCUCUUUCUACCAAUUGCCAAUCAGAAAGUCUUUGAAUCCACCUGUGACCUGAAAGCCCCACCUUGCUUUGAGUUGUCCUGCCUUUCCAGACCAAAUCAGCGUACAUCCUACAUGUAUUGAUUGAUGUCGUAUGUUUUCCUAAAAUGUUUAAAACCAAGCUGUAGCCCAACCACCUUGGGCACAUAUCCUCAGGAUCUCCUGAGGGCUGUGUCACAGGCCAUCGGUCACUCAUAUUAAGGGAGGAGACCACCCUUCAUAUUGUCUUAUGCCCAAUUUCUGCCUCCAAAGAAAGAAGUAAAAACUAAAAGGCAGGAAUGAAAUCCACAAGCAGACAGCCCGGCGCCACACCCUGGGCCUGGUAGUUAAAGAUCGACCCCUGACCUAAUCGGUUAUGUUAUCUAUAGAUUACAGACAUUAUAUAGAAAAGCACUGUGAAAAUCCCUGUCCUGUUCUGUUCUGAUUACCGGUGCAUGCAGCCCCCAGUCAUGUACCCCCUGCUUGCUCAAUUGAUCAUGACCCUCUCACGCAGACCCCUUAGAGUUGUGAGCCCUUAAAAGGGACAGGAAUUGCUCACUCGGAGAGCUCAGUUGUUGGAGACAUGAGUCUUGCCAAAGCUCCCGGCCUAAUAAAGCCCUUCCUUCUUUAACUCGGUGUCUGAGGGGUUUUGUCUGCAGCUUGUCCUGCUGUAAUAUUUGGCUCAGAAUAAAUCUGCAAAUAUUUUACAGACUUUGAUUCUUUUUGUCGACACUUUAUUUCUCUACUUUUUCCUUGUUAGGCCAUUUUAUGCUUUUUUGGUGUAUUUCACACCCAUGGAGACCAGGAAAGGCAAGAUUACGGAAAAUCAGUUCCAACUAGAAGUGUUGCUCAUC